rnacentral:rRNA from 1 species
GGCUUGGUAAUUGGAAUGAGGGAGAGUUAAACGGACCAUCGAGUAUCCAUUGGAGGGCAAGUCUGGUGCCAGCAGCUGCGGUAAUACCAGCUCCAAUAGCGUAUAUUAAAGUUGUUGCAGUUAAAAAGCUCGUAGUUGGACUUGUGUGCGCUGUCCGCGGGUGGCCUGCGCCCAAAAGGGCGUUUCGGUUCGGCCCCGGUGGCGCCUUGAAAUCUGCAGCUGGGGGGACGUUGGCCUUAACUGGUCGGCGACCGCACGCCGGCUGCUCGGUUACUGUGAGAAAAUUAGAGUGUUCAAGGCAGGUAUUGGGUGCAAUUGAAUACAUUAGCAUGGAAUAAUAAAAUAUGGCUCCUGCCGUAUUUUGUUGGUUUUGACUGGUGGGAGUAAUGAUUGAUAGGGACGGUUGGGGGUGCUAGUAUUGAGCGGCCAGAGGUGAGAUUCAUGGAUUCGCUCAAGACUAACUUAUGCGAAAGCAUUCACCAAGGACGUCCUCUUUAAUCAAGGACGAAAGUUGGGGGAUCGAAGACGAUCAGAUACCGUCGUAGUCUCAACCAUAAACUAUGUCGACUUGGGAUCGGCGGUAGUUUUUUCAUUAAGACACUGUCGGGACCACGGGAGAAAUCAAAGUGUCUGGACUCUGGGGGAAGUAUGGUCGCAAGGCUGAAACUUGAAGGAAUUGACGGAAGGGCACCACCAGGAGUGGAGCCUGCGGCUUAAUUUGACCCAACACGGGGAAACUUACCAGGUCCAGAGAUGUAGAGGAUUGACAGAUUGAAGCUCUUUCUUGAUCACUUCGGUGGUGGUGCAUGGCCGUUCUUAGUUGGUGGAGUGAUUUGUCUGGUUAAUUCCGUUAACGAACGAGACCUCAGCCUGCUAGUGUAGUCGGCUGGAUUGCCUUUGGCGAUCCGUGAUUUCGACUUCUUAGAGGGACAAUCGACGCGCAGUCGAUGGAAGUUUGAGGCAAUAACAGGUCUGUGAUGCCCUUAGAUGUUCUGGGCCGCACGCGCGCUACACUGCUGGGCUCAGCGAGUUUUACUUGGCCGAGAGGCCCGGUUAAUCUUGUGAAAUCCCAGCGUGCUUGGGCUCGCCUCCUGCAACUGGAGGCGCCAACGAGGAAUUCCUAGUAGACGCAGGUCAUCAACCUGCAUCGAUUACGUCCCUGCCCUUUGUACACACCGCCCGUCGUUCCAUAAGAGUGAGGCAUCCGGUGAAUUCUCGGGAGAGCCUGGGCGUGGCCAGCAAUGGUCUGCUCGGGUUUGAACUUGCAUAAACUUGGUGCCUAUGAUUAGGG